rnacentral:tRNA from 1 species
GCCUCCGUGGCUUAGUGGCUAUAGCGGUCGCCUAGUAAGCGACAGGUCGUGAGUUCAACUCUCACCGGAGGCU